UACGUAGGGGGCGAGCGUUGUCCGGAUUUAUUGGGCGUAAAGAGCUCGUAGGCGGUCCGGUAAGUCAGCUGUGAAAGUCAAGGGCUCAACCCUUGAAUGCCGGUUGAUACUGUCGGGCUAGAGUCCGGAAGAGGCGAGUGGAAUUCCCGGUGUAGCGGUGAAAUGCGCAGAUAUCGGGAGGAACACCAAUGGCGAAGGCAGCUCGCUGGGACGGUACUGACGCUGAGACGCGAAAGCGUGGGGAGCAAACAGG
rnacentral:rRNA from 1 species